GCGCAGGCGCGCACGCCUCGCUGCUCGGCAACCGGGCCCCCGCCCUCGGGGAAAGGGCGGCAGUUCCCGCCUCGCUAGGCUGACGGUCCGGCGCUCAGUCGCGGCGAGAGCCGCAGCGGGAAAGGGAGGCCGGCGCAGAGGCGCAGAGAGCGGUCAGCGAGCAGGCGGGGAACCCGGCGCAGAGGGGCGGGCAGACGCGCGGCAGGCAGGGCGGGCGAGCAACCGGCUGACGGCUUGACUGAGAAAGAAAGGAGGCGUCAGGGACGCCACUAGGUUCCAAAGUCUCCCGCCUAGCCUUCCCCGGGGCGGCUGACCUGCCGGCGUUGCCAGCCACGUACGAUGCCCGGCCUGCGAGCCUGCCUGCCCGCGGGCGGGAUACGCGCUCGCCUCGCUUGCCGGUCAGAGCCGUCCCUGGGAAAGCAGCAGCCGCCUGCCUCGGCCUGGGCAGCGACGGCGGUCCGCCGGGCCCGGCGCCGGCAGCGUGGGCAGCAGGGCCCCCUGCCGGGGCUGGCCGAGAGGCGGCCCACGCUUCUAAGGCCCGGCCGCCGGCCAGCGGUCGCGUGGCGGGCGGGACGCGUUCGAGCGGCGAGCGCUGCCGAGAGGACGGUCCCGUUCCGCCCGGGCCUCGAGGGGACGUGGAAGGGGCCCCGCGCCCCCGGCCGAAAGCAGCGGGCGCCGAAGCCCGGCGCCCGGGACAAGGCCGGACCCUCCCCACGCAGGCGGCGCGGAGGCGACCCGCCGCGGCCGGGCCGGGAGGGACCCGAUCCGGUAGCGGCCUCAGCCGGCGGGCUGGACGGGGAACGCGUGAGGGAGUGCCGCGCG